rnacentral:rRNA from 1 species
CCUACGUGAGGCAGCAGUGGGGAAUAUUGGACAAUGGGGGCAACCCUGAUCCAGCCAUGCCGCGUGUGUGAAGAAGGCCCUCGGGUUGUAAAGCACUUUCAGUGAGGAAGAACGCCUGGUGGUUAAUACCCAUCAGGAAAGACAUCACUCACAGAAGAAGCACCGGCUAACUCCGUGCCAGCAGCCGCGGUAAUACGGAGGGUGCGAGCGUUAAUCGGAAUUACUGGGCGUAAAGCGCGCGUAGGUGGCUUGAUAAGCCGGUUGUGAAAGCCCCGGGCUCAACCUGGGAACGGCAUCCGGAACUGUCAAGCUAGAGUGCAGGAGAGGAAGGUAGAAUUCCCGGUGUAGCGGUGAAAUGCGUAGAGAUCGGGAGGAAUACCAGUGGCGAAGGCGGCCUUCUGGACUGACACUGACACUGAGGUGCGAAAGCGUGGGUAGCAAACAGGAUUAGAUACCCUUGUAGUC